AUCGUACGACGUAGUUUGAUCCUGGCUCAGAACGAACGCUGGCGGCAGGCCUAACACAUGCAAGUCGAGCGCCCCGCAAGGGGAGUGGCGGACGGGUUAGUAACGCGUGGGAAUGUACCCUUUUCUACGGAAUAGCCUCGGGAAACUGAGAUUAAUACCGUAUACGCCCGGUAAACGGGGAAAGAUUUAUCGGAGAAGGAUCAGCCCGCGUAAGAUUAGAUAGUUGGUGGGGUAAUGGCCUACCAAGUCUACGAUCUUUAGCUGGUUUGAGAGGAUGAUCAGCAACACUGGGACUGAGACACGGCCCAGACUCCUACGGGAGGCAGCAGUGGGGAAUCUUAGACAAUGGGCGCAAGCCUGAUCUAGCCAUGCCGCGUGAGUGAAGAAGGCCUUAGGGUCGUAAAGCUCUUUCAGUGGGGAAGAUAAUGACGGUACCCACAGAAGAAACCCCGGCUAACUCCGUG
rnacentral:rRNA from 1 species